UAACGCGUGGGUGACGUACCUGUUGGUGGGGAAUAACUGCCCGAAAGGGUGGCUAAUUCCGCAUAAGUCCGGUGGAUCGAUCUGCCGGGGAAAGCUUCGCAAGAGGCGCCGAUGGAGCGGCCCGCGUCCGAUUAGCUGGUUGGUGGGGUAACGGCCUACCAAGGCGACGAUCGGUAGCUGGUCUUAGAGGAUGAUCAGCCAGACUGGGACUGAGACACGGCCCAG
rnacentral:rRNA from 1 species